AGUUUCCCUCCUCUUAAAGCAGAAUGCACACAAUCUGUGCGUGCACUCUCUUUCUCUUUCCUUUUCCAUUCUUAUCAAACCUGUAAAACACUGAUGAUAAGCGGUGAAGCUACUAAAACUCUUAAAGAACAGUCAACGACAUCACCUCGUAUUGCACCGCUAUUUAUACUUAGCGAAACGCGCUUUAAAAGGCAAACGUCAUCGGAAUGAAAACAAGGAAAAAAAAAACGAUGAUUCGAAAUGCUAUAGUCGCCUAAAAUUGAUUAUAUUUAGUCAGUUUGCAAAAAUGUUGAAAGAAAAGACAAGGAGACAAUAAAGAUAUACUGCGACUGUGUCAAGGUGAAGGCGCGUCUCAUCAACUACUUGGUGAAAGCAAAUGAAACAUCCAUUUGAUUGUAACUGUUCUUUCAAAUCAUGUGUUGGAAAUCUAAAUACUAAAUUUUAUUUAAAAAAAAAUUAAUAUCCAAAUUUUUAUACAAAUCUAUUAUUUUUAUCAACAUAAAGAAAAAUAAAUCUAUAUAAAAAUUGCUUUCAAA